CUACUGAAUCAGAAUGCCUGUAAGUGGAGUCCAGGAAUCUGCAUUUUUACC
rnacentral:miRNA from 1 species